UACGUAGGUGGCAAGCGUUGUCCGGAAUUAUUGGGCGUAAAGCGCGCGCAGGCGGUCCUUUAAGUCCGAUGUGAAAUCUCGCGGCUCAACCGCGAGCGGUCAUUGGAAACUGGGGGACUUGAGUGCAGAAGAGGAAAGCGGAAUUCCACGUGUAGCGGUGAAAUGCGUAGAGAUGUGGAGGAACACCAGUGGCGAAGGCGGCUUUCUGGUCUGUAACUGACGCUGAGGCGCGAAAGCGUGGGGAG
rnacentral:rRNA from 1 species